rnacentral:rRNA from 1 species
UACAGAGGUCUCAAGCGUUGUUCGGAUUCAUUGGGCGUAAAGGGUGCGUAGGCGGCGCGGUAAGUCGGGUGUGAAAUCUCGGGAGCUUAACUCCGAAACUGCAUUCGAUACUGCCGUGCUUGAGGACUGGAGAGGAGACUGGAAUUUACGGUGUAGCGGUGAAAUGCGUAGAUAUCGUAAGGAAGACCAGUGGCGAAGGCGGGUCUCUGGACAGUUCCUGACGCUGAGGCACGGAAGGUCAGGGGGAGCAAAACGGGG